rfam:Clostridium tetani E88, complete genome.
ACCCAGGGUAGAGGAGCUAUAAUUAAGAGUACUUAUCUUAAACUGCCAAGUAAUGAUAGAUAGGAAAAGGAAUUAUAGCCGAAGAAAAUAGGGUGGUAAUCUAUUUUCUGGCUUUGCAUAAAAUAUGUGUAAAGCUGUCACUUUAAAAAGUGUUGAGCUACAGAGGUC